GGAUAGUUUUAUUCUUGCUAUUUUGUUCAGUGUUGUCUUGUUUUAUAUGUAGGUUCUUGCGGGUUUUUAUGAUUUUCUUGAUGGAAUGUUUAUGUUUGUUUUUGUAAAUCUCAUUAAUUGGUUUUAUAAAUCCUGGCUACUUGGAUUUAGUAAUGAUUUUUGGUACUGGUUAAGUUUGUGCCAGCAGCCGCGGUUAUACAUUAAGUGCAAUUGAACAUUUUCGGUUUUUGCAGUUUUAUUUUUAUUUGGUUGGUUUUUAAUUGAUGUUUCUUAGUAGUUGGGUGAAAUUUUUAUUUUUGUUUAUUGCCGUAUUCUUUUUUGUAGGCUGUGAAAUCUUUCUUGUAGACUAGGAUUAGAUACCCUAUUAUUUUUGAUGUUAAUUAUCUUUUUCCUGGGUAGUAUUAGUUAUGUUCUUGAAACCCAAAGGAUUUGGCGGUAUUCUACUCCUUCCAGAGGAAUCUGCCCCUUAAUCGAUAAUCCGCGCUGGACCUUUCUUAAUUUUUGUUUGUAUACCGCCGUUAUAAUGAGGAUUUUUUUAGGGUUAUUCAAUUUUCUAGUUUCAUUAUUUUGAUUUAUUUCAGGUCAAGGUGCAAUUUGUUUUUAAGUGUGAGGUGGAUUACAAUAUGUUUAUGAAUUUUCGGAUUAUUAAUUGGAAUUUUUAUAUGAAGUUGGAUUUGGUGGUAAUUUGUUGAAGAUUGUUUGAAUGAUAUUGGUUCUAGGAUAUGUACACAUCGCCCGUCGCUCUCAUUUUUAUUGAGAUAAGUCGUAACAUAGUGGUCGUACCGGAAGGUGUGGCUAGAUUGAU
rnacentral:ncRNA from 1 species